rnacentral:rRNA from 1 species
UACAGAGGGUGCGAGCGUUAAUCGGAAUUACUGGGCGUAAAGCGUGCGUAGACGGUUAUUUAAGUCAGAUGUGAAAUCCCCGGGCUCAACCCGGGAACUGCGUCCGAUACUGGCAGGCUUGAAUCCGGGAGAGGGAUGUGGAAUUCCAGGUGUAGCGGUGAAAUGCGUAGAUAUCUGGAGGAACACCGGUGGCGAAGGCGGCAUCCUGGACCGGUAUUGACGCUGAGGCGCGAAAGCCAGGGGAGCAAACGGG